rnacentral:lncRNA from 1 species
GAUUCCAAAAGCAUUUUAUCCUUAAUAUCUUCAUGUAAGUUGUUAUUUUAUUUUUUCUAAACGUAGUUGGGUUAAAGAUUUUUUCUUUUAAUAUUUUUUUUAUUCAACUCUUUCUUUCAAUAUCUUUAACUUGUCUUUUACAAUUAUUUCUCUAAUUUGGUGUCGGGAUAACUUAGUACUUCAGAUCCAAAGCAGGUAUUUCUUUUGUUCAUGUUCGGUAUUUUUUUA